CAAAAGAAGAAGAGUGAGAGAGAAGAACUGAGAGAAAGUUUGAGAGAGAAAACUGGUUUGCCGGAGUUUUCGUCGGAGAGUCGCCGACGGAAUCCAUUUCCUACCAAGACCUGUACUCUGGAGCCCUUCUUGGAGUGAAGUAAGAACUCGUGUGGAGAUUUCCUCCUCCUUCCUCAAGAUCAGAAAGAAAACCCGCAAAGGAGGAUUCGCUACCGAUCUUGGUGAGGGAAACGGACGGAACGACGAGAUCUGAGAGACUAUCCAAGAACGGUAAGGAGGAGAGAGAAGCCGCCGGCGUGCCACGCGUCAACCAACCAGAGGGCCGCGUGCGCCAAUCGCCCCCGGACACGCGUCGAGCGCCGCCUGGGAAAACGCGGCUCCAGCGCUCCUGCGACACGCGUCCCUGGCUCCGCGACCCGACCCGCGCUCCUUGGCUGACCCGAUACCCGCACGGCGAACCGAAUCCAGUUGACGACCCGCGGUCCACCCGAAUCACCGCUUCCGACCCGAACCCGCGACCCGCGACUGCAGGAAUUUCUGGGCGCGUGACACUCGCGCGUGGAACCCGCGAGUGGCUGCUCCCCAGCGCGUGACUGGCGCGUGGAGGCGCGUGACCUUAUUGAGGAAAAAUCACCCCCUCUCGUUACGCCAAGUGUGUGGAAACGCUGCGUAAGGGCACGUAGCAUCCAAGAGGAGAGAGAAGCCGCCGGCGUACCACGCGUCAACCAACCAGAGGGCCGCGUGCGCCAAUCGCCCCCGGACACGCGUCGAGCGCCGCCUGGGAAAACGCGGCUCCAGCGCUCCUGCGACACGCGUCCCUGGCUCCGCGACCCGACCCGCGCUCCUUGGCUGACCCGAUACCCGCACGGCGAACCGAAUCCAGUUGACGACCCGCGGUCCACCCGAAUCACCGCUUCCGACCCGAACCCGCGACCCGCGACUGCAGGAAUUUCUGGGCGCGUGACACUCGCGCGUGGAACCCGCGAGUGGCUGCUCCCCAGCGCGUGACUGGCGCGUGGAGGCGCGUGACCUUAUUGAGGAAAAAUCACCCCCUCUCGUUACGCCAAGUGUGUGGAAACGCUGCGUAAGGGCACGUAGCAUCCAAGUAAGUCGCCACACGGAAUUUAGGAAGUAAUACUUGUAGGAACCGCUUGGGAUGCAUGCAUGCUAGUCUGAAUAUUUUAGGUUGUAGCUUUCCCGUAAAUGUUCGUAGGAAAUAGUUUAUUGAACGUAAGAUGUAUGCUGUGAUUUGUUAUGAGAGUUACUUGGAUACUGCUUAUAUGCUCUUAAUUCCCACUUUAUUUUAUGCAUAUGUAUAUCUUUUUGCUGAAUGGAGAAUGGAAAAUUUGCGAACUCUGUGCUCCGGGAAUUGAUGGAUGUUAUCACCCCGUCGAGCUUGUAUGAUUACUUUGCAUGAAAUAUGUUUGAGGUUUUUGGAUAAUAGUUAUGUACGUACUCGGUUAUUUUUAGGGCCACCUUUAUGAAUAAGACUAGAAGACAAUGGUUAGAGCGACAAACCAUCAAGGGAUCGACUUAACCUUUCCCUAUUAGUUUAUCAGACCAUCACGGCACAUGAAACAUCCUUAGAGUACCCUUAAGCUACUUGUGUGUGGAUGGUGAUAUAGCUUCGUGGGGGACCAGCGGGUUCCUGAUCAGGACUCGACUGCUCGAUAGCCGUUUAGUAUGGGAAACGGGAUACCCACGUCGUAAUUGACCGUUUAGCUGGAUGGAAUAGGGGAGGUAGCCCUCCCAAAUACAGGGGGAUUAUCAUGGGUCUAGGGGGUUGCAGCUCACUUCCUAGGCAAGACCCCAGAUAAUCUCAUACCCAUGCCGAGGUAGCCACUCGUAAGGCACCAGUCCAACACAGGUUA